rnacentral:rRNA from 1 species
AUUGAACGCUGGCGGCAGGCCUAACACCUGCAAGUCGAGCGAGCGGCGGACGGGUGAGUAAUGUAUGGGGACUGCCCGAUAGAGGGGGAUAACUACUGGAAACGGUAGCUAAUACCGCAUCCUAUCGGAUAACCCAUAUGGGGUUGGCUAGUGGGUGAGGUAAUGGCUCACCUGGGCGACGAUCCCUAGCUGGUCUGUGAGGAUGAUCAGCCACACUGGGACGGAGACACGGCCCAGACUCCGACGGAGGCAGUAGUGGGGAAUAUUGCACAAGGGGCGCAAGCCUGAUGCAGCCAUGCCGCGUGUAUGAAGAAGGCCCUAGGUGUGUAAAGUACUUUCAGUCGGGAGGCGUUACCGACAGAAUAAGCACCGGCUAACUCCGUGCCAGCAGCCGCGGUAAUUC